ensembl:lncRNA
GCAAGUUAGUUACGUAGUCAGAGGAGUGCCCCGACAGCCAAAAGAAAUCAGAUGUGCCAUGUAGAUGGAUCAACAAAAUGCAUGGUGGACUCAGCAAGAGGGUGCCAGGCUACUAUUGGGAUAUCAAAGUAAUUAUCUCCUCCAAGGAAGAGGAAGUAUCCAUUACUGGUCAAUCUAUUCCAAAGUUUCUUUGGUAUCAGUCAGCGUUUAUGGAGAAAUAAUUAGUUUAUCGUAGUAAACUGAAGGGAUGAAUAUGCCACUGUAAAACUAGAAAUGAAGUUAUGAAGACAGAAAACACACCACCUACAUACUAGAAUUCAGCUGCAUCCUCACGUAUCUAUGUCUCUGGUGCCCCCCGCCCCAGCACAACAUCCAACCACAAGAGACGCAAGCUGACUGCAAUGUGUCCUCAUUCAUCUGGAAAUCCGACCAGCACGCUCUCUGCUGUGGGAACGGCAGAGCUGAUUCCCACCACGUCUCCUAAGCCGGUCCGUUCUCCUUUUGUGAGCUGCAGAACUCCGUAAACGAUACGCCUGUUAAACUUGUUAGCGCCGCGCACAGCGGGCGGAGCGGAGGACAGCGCGGCCGCCCUCACCACAGGUCGCC